rnacentral:rRNA from 1 species
CAGCCGCCGCGGUAAUACGUAGGGUGCGAGCGUUAACCGGAGUUACUGGGCGUAAAGCGUGCGCGGGCGGCUUUGUAAGACAGGCGUGAAAUCCCCGGGCUCAACCUGGGAAUGGCGCUUGUGACUGCAAAGCUAGAGUGCGGCAGAGGGGGAUGGAAUUCCGCGUGUAGCAGUGAAAUGCGUAGAUAUGCGGAGGAACACCGAUGGCGAAGGCAAUCCCCUGGGCCUGCACUGACGCUCAUGCACGAAAGCGUGGGGAGCAAACAGGAUUAGAGACCCCCGUAGUCCCUGUCUCUUAUAA